AAGACCUUGCGCUUUUGGAGCGGCCGAUGCCUGAUUAGCUAGUUGGUGGGGUAAUGGCCUACCAAAGCUUCGAUCAGUAGCUGGUCUGAGAGGACGGCCAGCCACACUGGGACUGAGACACGGCCCAGACUCCUACGGGAGGCAGCAGUGGGGAAUUUUGGACAAUGGGCGCAAGCCUGAUCCAGCCAUGCCGCGUGAGUGAAGAAGGCCUCCGGGUUGUAAAGCUCUUUCAGCCGGGAAGAAAAGGUUGCGAUUAAUAAUCGCAAUUUAUGACGGUACCGGAAGAAGAAGCACCGGCUAACUACGUGCCAGCAGCCGCGGUAAUACGUAGGGUGCGAGCGUUAAUCGGAAUUACUGGGCGUAAAGGGUGCGCAGGCGGUUUUGUAAGUCAGAUGUGAAAUCCCCGGGCUUAACCUGGGAACU
rnacentral:rRNA from 1 species